AUUAUCAAACUUACUGUAUUAAUAAAUGUACAAAAACUUAUUAUUUAUUUGUUUCAAAAUAGUUGAACUAAGCAGUAGAUAGACCCUCCUCCCUGACCUUUAAAGUCAUCAGGAAGUUGCUUUUUUAACAGAGAGCUGUGAAAGGUGUUGUGCUUCACUUCUCUUUGAAAAGCCUGAGACAUAGUUGGACUAACUCUGAAGUCAGGAGCUUGAAGCCUCAGCAUGAUGAGCCGUCCACAGAAAUACAUAGAAGCUGGGACCACAUCCUCUGGACGAUGAGCGGAGAGGGAUGAGGGAGUAUGAACUGGUGCUGCGGUUUGGGGAAGGCCUCGAAGGGGACUGGCGACGGCUCGCGGGCCGGGAGGAACCCCAUGGCUAAUGAGAGGUGAAGCUCUUGACUCUCAACAUGCAAAACCUCAGAGUGGCCG